UACGUAGGGUGCGAGCGUUAAUCGGAAUUUCUGGGCGUAAAGCGUGCGCAGGCGGGCUUUUAAGCCAGACGUGAAAUCCCCGGGCUUAACCUGGGAAUGGCGUUUGGGACUGGAAGUCUGGAGUACGGCAGAGGAGACUGGAAUUCCUGGUGUAGCAGUGAAAUGCGUAGAUAUCAGGAGGAACACCGAUGGCGAAGGCAGGUCUCUGGGCUGAUACUGACGCUCAUGCACGAAAGCGUGGGGAGCAAACAGG
rnacentral:rRNA from 1 species